UGAUGAGUUUGAGAUUAUCACCAUGGAGCCAAAAUGUGCUCUCUGAUUAACUGUAGAUCAUAAAACUUGACAGAGCUGUGGUGAAACGGAUGGCUGGUUUGUUCCUUGAACAGACAGCUCACAAAUCAGAUAAACUGAUGUGAGAAUGACUCUGUUGAUUAACCUCGCUUUGUUUUAGUUGGACUGAAACCCACAGAUACAGAGAAGAGGGUGAGUGAUGUUGAGCAUGCUCAGGGGGAAACAAUGAAUCAUAACAUGGAGCUCCCUGUAAAAAGUGCCAUUAAAAUGCAAAUGCAUGCACACUCCAGUUGUGAAGUGGCUGUCACAUUUGAAACAUGUCAGAAAUGAUACAUUUGAUAAUUAUUGUGCUUUCCUAAUAUUUGCUGUCAACACUGGUUUGUUUAUUUUGCUUGUCAAUAAUUAUUUCCGGAUAAACAACAUGGUGAGGUGAAACAUCUUGUAGAAAAUAAAAACGAAAGAGUCCAGCCGCUCGACAUUAUCAGCUGAAAUGCUAAUUUUCGGAUCUGAAUGAUGCAACAAUACCAAAUCAGCUUUCUAAAAGCCGUUUUUGGUCAUUUAGGAAACUCUGUUCAACUGUUUUUCCCACUUCUUGUUACACUAGAUCAAUGGAUCUUCGUGAACAGAGCCUAGUUAUUCAGAGUAAUGUUCUGUAGUGAUUUCAGUCUAACUGUCUCACAGUUUUUUAGUUCGAACAGCUAAAUAUUGUGAAAAUGGAUUAAACUAACAGAGGAAAUUAGUUCCUCAAGGCUUUAUACUCAGCCCUUACUUUAUAUGUUGCCUUUAGUGGUAUUUGUCAGAUCCUGGUCAUUUUUGCCUGCUACUAACCCUCUUCCACCAGUAGGGGCGUUAGGAGCUGAGUUCUGGGUGGUCAGGUGUUUCGCAUGAGUGUCAUCAGCUGGAGGACUAUAAGAAGGAGGUUGACCAAGCCUUGUUCAUGAGAGAUAUCAGAAGAACUUACCAACAGUUUUUAAGGACUCUGGAUUCUUGUUUUGUUCCACUGGCAGCCACAUCAGACUUUGUCCUCACAGCUUCAAGCGAACCCUGUCCACCCUCCACCAUAACUCUCAGGACUCUCCUGCUACGGCAGUGUUGCAUAGCCCGCCGCUCACCAGGAUCUGGACCACCUAAUCGGAUGUAUGUUCCCAGCGCCGUUCGGUCCCGGCUCAUUACCUGGUUUCAUGCUUCAAGGUUUGCCAUCCACCUGGGAGCUAGUCGGACCAUCGCCGCUAUAACCAGAUGCUUCUGGUGGCCCACUCUACACCGGGACGUUAAGGACUAUGUCUCUGCUUGUAGAACCUGUGCUCGUAAUAAGACAUCAAAUUGGCUGCCUGCUGGCCUUCUGCAACCGCUGGAUGUUCCUCCUCGACCUUGGUCACACAUCGCCGUGGAUUUUGUCACUGGUCUUCCAAACUCUCACGGUAUGACAACUAUCAUGACUAUAGUGGACAGAUUUUCUAAAGCCUGCCAUCUUGUACCCCUCAGAAAAUUACCAUCCGCUUUCCAGACUGCCAAGCUUAUGGUCAAACACGUGUUCCGUUUGCAUGGGAUUCCCCAGGACGUGCUGUCUGACCGGGGGCCUCAGUUCACCGCCCAGGUGUGGAAGUUCUGUGCAGCGUUGGGGGCCAAUGUCUCUCUAAAUUCCGGUCACCACCUGCAAACCAAUGGCCAGGUAGAGAGACUGAAUCAGGAGAUGGAGGCAGCUCUACGCUGCGCGGCAUCUUCCAGUCCCACUGACUGGAGCGACCACUUGCCCUGGAUUGAAUACUCACACAAUUCACGUGUCCACUGCCACUGGUUUUUCCCCAUUUGAGGUCUCGCUGGGGUUUCAACCAUCCGUUUCCUGCGGAUGAAAAGGAGAUUGCUGUUACCUCUGUACAACAGCACGUCCGGUGAUGCAGACGGAUCUGGGCGGCUACCACCAAGGCAUUGCAGUGGUCUGCUGCAGCCAACAAGCACUACACCGACAGACGAUGGAUCCCCGCUCCGGCCUAUCGCCCGGGUCAGCAGGUGUGGUUAUCUACACGGACUGUUCCGCUCAAGUCUCUGUCCUGGAAGCUAUCUCCCAGGUUCAUCGGUCCUUAUGUUAUUGAUUCUGUGGUUAAUCCUUCAUCUGUACGUCUACGUUUGCCCCCUAGUUUCCGGGUCCAUCCUGUGUAUCUCAGAUUAAGCCUGUCCAGUCCAGCACGCUCUGCCCUCCGGCCGUGCCCCCUCCACCCGCCCAGGAGUUCCAAGGCCACCCGGCCUACUCAGUCCGCCGGAUCGUGGCCUCCCGUCGACGGGGAAGGGGGUGGCAGUUCUUAGUGGAUUGGGAGGGUUACGGUCCCGAGGAUCGCCUCUGGGUUCCCCGGUCUUUCAUCCUGGACUCUAGACUGAUUCAGGACUUCUGGUCGUUCCAGGCCAGUUCGUCUGGACCUCCUGGAGGCGGUCGUUGAUGGGGAGGUGGUGUCAGAUCCUGGUCAUUUUUGCCUGCUACUAACCCUCUUCCACCAGUAGGGGCGUUAGGAGCUGAGUUCUGGGUGGUCAGGUGUUUCGCAUGAGUGUCAUCAGCUGGAGGACUAUAAGAAGGAGGUUGACCAAGCCUCAUUCAUGAGAGAUAUCAGAAGAACUUACCAACAGUUUUUAAGGACUCUGGAUUCUUGUUUUGUUCCACUGGCAGCCAGAUCAGACUUUGUCCUCACAGCUUCAAGCGAACCCUGUCCACCCUCCACCAUAACUCUCAGGACUCUCCUGCUACGGCAGUGUUGCAUAGCCCGCCGCUCACCAGGAUCACAACCUCUCACAACCCUACCCAAUGGUGAACUCUCUCAUCAGACAAAAGACCACCUCCUCUUGCUGUUAGAAGGCAGCAGGUUGCAGAGUUAUACCCUCAAUAUCAGAUACCUGCAAGAUGGUUUUUUUCCCUUACCUUUCUGUUUGCGUGCUACCAUCUUUUGUCGCCCCAGACACGACAACAAACCCCACUUCAAAUGGAGUAUUUAAUGGAGUUGAAUCUGCCAACAGAGAGUAACUAUAUGGUGACUUGCUACAGUCAGGAGAACCUGGAAAUAAACUGGAGAUGGUGAUGGACUUCAUUUCACUGUCAAAACCAAUUAUUUUCUGAUUCAUGUAGUCACCAGUGUUCAGUUCCCUCUUUAAGCAAAACAAAGUACAUACUUCAUGUUCAGCCCAUAGACAUUUUACCUGUCACCAGUAGUUUUCGAGCACUGCAAUAUGCUGCAGUCACUGAGUCCUUCUCAGUUUUUCCAUCCCCAUUGCAUAAUGCUGUUGCCACCACCAAGGACAAGGGCAGGCUGCAGCAUAUGAUUCCUUCUUAAAGGAAGGUGAUGGGCCUCAAUCUGCUAUCACACUACAAGCAUGAGACUUUUAACAAUAGAUAUAGCAGAAAAAAACAGUCACGAAUAGUUUCUGACUCUUGAUUAAUUUCACUAAAACUGUUUCUUCACAUUGCAAAUAAAUACAUUUGUUUUAUGAAUGCCCCUUGUUCCAGUACAACCGUAUUGCACAUACAUCGUCACAUUGCUGUUUAUACUUUUUGGGGUGUAACUUGACAUACGGGUGUAACUCCGUUGCACAUGCUUCAAAUAGUUAUCAAACAACUGCAACACUUUGCCCAACCUGGCCCUGCCUGAAGUUGUUUUUUUUUUUUUUGUGCACAUAAUCUUAUUUUUAUUGUAAAUAUCUCUCCUGUUCUCUGCUCCCCACAGGUUAUUAUUUGCUGCUAUUAUCUACUUAUAUUUGUUAUGAUUACAUUGUGGACAGCACACAGAGAAAUAUAUCACUCAAGAGGCAGAGUGAAUACAAGUCUCUACUCUUUUCUGUUUUUUAUCUGUAAAAUGAAAACUAUUGAAAACCAUAUUCCUUCUGCUUCACAGUAAUGUACUGGUUUGUGCUGGUCUAUCACAUAAUAUACCAAUAGAAUACAGUGAACUUUGUGCUUAUAGAAGAACAAUAUGUGAAGAUAUGUGAAGUUCAAGGCUUUAAGUACAUUUUAAAGAAACUGUAUAUGUUGAAACAUGGGAACAUUAUGAAACCUUAGCCACCCAUGAAUUAACCCAGAAUGAAUCUAAAGCAUUAAAAUUCUGCUUAUUUGGCAAUAUCUUUACUCUAGUCAAGGUUGUAAUUUGUAAAUUCAAUAUUUUUAAUUACUAAUUACUCAAUAUUAAAACAAAAAUACACUGGUGGCAA